rnacentral:rRNA from 1 species
CCCGGCACAAGCAGUGGAGCAUGUGGUUUAAUUCGAAGCAACGCGAAGAACCUUACCUGGCCUUGACAUGCUGAGAACUUUCCAGAGAUGGAUGGUGCCUUCGGGAACUCAGACACAGGUGCUGCAUGGCUGUCGUCAGCUCGUGUCGUGAGAUGUUGGGUUAAGUCCCGUAACGAGCGCAACCCUUGUCCUUAGUUACCAGCACGUAAUGGUGGGAACUCUAAGGAGACUGCCGGUGACAAACCGGAGGAAGUGGGGGAUGACGUCAAGUCCUCAUGGCCCUUAUGGGUAGGGCUUCACACGUCAUACAAUGGUCGGUACAGAGGGUUGCCAAGCCGCGAGGCGGAGCCAAUCCCACAAAGCCGAUCGUAGUCCGGAUUGUUCUCUGCAACUCGAGAGCAUGAAGUCGGAAUCGCUAGUAAUCGCAGGUCAGCAUACUGCGGUGAAUACGUUCCCGGGUCUU